rnacentral:lncRNA from 1 species
CCGCUCGCAGCCUUAAUGCCUCACACAGUCACACUCACUGACUCACAGCAACCUCAGUGCCUCACACAGGUUUUCUGACUUUCUCAAAAAAAAAUCCCAGAUUCCCAGAGGCCAGAUCUCCUCUCGCCCAGUCUGCCCAGAUAGAGAGGCUCGCCGGACGCCGAAUCUGUUUGCUACGGUGCUACCAGUGGCGGAGUCGCGGAGAGAGACAAAGACAGAGAUUCCAUCAUUUCCAUGUUAGUUGAGCCGCUGAGGAGUGAGGAACUGCCAAACUGAGGAUCUUGAAUUCUUGAUCAUGGUCGGUCUCGGUGAGUCGGUGGAUAGCCUAUGAGGC